UACGUAGGGGGCAAGCGUUGUCCGGAAUUAUUGGGCGUAAAGCGCGCGCAGGCGGUCUCGUAAGUCUGAUGUGAAAGCCCACGGCUCAACCGUGGAGGGUCAUUGGAAACUGGAGGACUUGAGUACAGAAGAGGAAAGUGGAGUUCCACGUGUAGCGGUGAAAUGCGUAGAGAUGUGGAGGAGCACCAGUGGCGAAGGCGACUUUCUGGCCUACAACUGACGCUGAGGCGCGAAAGCGUGGGGAGCAAACAGG
rnacentral:misc_RNA from 1 species